rnacentral:lncRNA from 1 species
UUAUAAUUUUGAACAGCUUCGGACAAAUUAUAUUAAAAUAAAGUUUGAAUAACCAGCUAUUAAAUAUAUCAUUUGAACUUGCCAGGGUUAUCUCUAGUAAUCUCUAUUUGUCUGUUUUGAUUUCUGAGCAUAACCCCUGAAACGAUUUGCCUCAAAUAUUGGGUUGACUUUUACAGGAAAAACUCCAGGUAAAAUUGGGUUUCCAAGCUAGCUUAUAUAAAUAUUAUGUAGAUAGUAAUGUGUUUUUUGAAAAAGGUUGAAAAAUGAUGAUUCAUGAAUUCUUUUCAGAUGCUCUGUCGAGAAUGCAUUCAUAUAUAUCAAUCUUCACGGAUGCACAAAAUUAAGCCAGGAUAUUUAUCAAGAGGAAUGGAAGAUAUGGAGAAAGAAGAAUGAAGAAGGAGUAAAGAAGAAUGAAGAAGGGGUAAAGAGUAAUCUAUUCUAAACCUGCAUUUCUACUUUAGAUCUUGUACUAAUAUAUACUUCUCACAUUUUC